GGCCAUUGAAAUCCGACCACCAGUAUCAUUUUACUUAAAACUAGUUUAAUGUAGUAAUAAACAAUUGUAUUAUAGCAAUAAAAGAAUAACAGUAGCAAUUAAUGAUUAUAAUGUAACAUAUCGUACAUAUUUAAUGUUAAUAUUAAUGUUUUUUACUCUCAGGUUCGUUGAAUUUAAUAUUUAGUGGCACCACCAUGUGCUUUUAAGACUGCAUUAAUGCGAUCUGGCAUUGAAUCCACGAGAGCCUAACAAUAUUCUGGUGUUAUUUCAGUAAUCCAAGCUUGACGAAUUUUGUGCGCUAGAUUGUCCAGUGAUGUAGGAUUAGUUCUGGAUACUGCUGACUUUAACUUGAUUAAUUGAUUAACUGCUGACUUUAAUGCGAUCCUAUCACGGAUGUUCUUUAAAGACAGUCGCGGUUUGAGGGCUGGACGACGAGAACGUAGGCCUACAUCUUUCAAUAAACGUCUUCUUAUUGUUCAAGUGCUGACUGUAACGUCAUUAGGUAGAUCUGCUCUGAUUUGUGUGCUGGAUAUUGUUUGAUCUCUCACAGCAGCCCUGCGUAUCUUAUUGUCUGUUUGUUUGCUAGUAAUUCUAGCUUUACCAAAACGUUUUUGGGCGCAGUGGAUCCUGUGUCUUUGAUUAGUUGUAUAAUAUCAUGAACAGUUGAUUUUGGCAUUCGAUAUCUUGCAUAUAUCUGAUGCUCACUUGCACCAUCCUCCCAUAAAAGUUUAAUAUUAGCACGAACACCUUUCUUCGUAGUCAUAAUUAAAUUGUGACAGUUAAAUGAUAAUCCAUACCCUACAAUGAGAUAUAUAGCUUAAUAAAUUUUACAGUGCAAUAAAAUAAACACUAAUGUGAUUGUCUAAAAGCUAAUUAACUAAUCAUUGAUAACAGGGAAGAAAAUAAAUUGAUUAUUCGAGUGCAUAGACUGUUUUUCUUUAUAUUCAGCAGUGGUCGGAUUUCAAUGGCCAUAACUGUAUAUAUAUAUAAACAUAUAAUAAUUUUUUGAGACCCUAUUUAAUGUCUUUUGAAUGUGAUUAGUCAAAAAAUUUAAUACAUUUAAUUUAGAUGUUGUUUUGAAAGUUCAUAAAGGUGUGUCGUUGGUCCAAAUAAAUGUUGCGAUUUCGGAACAAUUAAAGAGACUUAAUCAAAGAAAUCCAUUUCUAAGUCUACAACAGCUGAAGAAACUACACCUAAAAUUCCAGAGUUUGAUUAAAAACCAAUUAUUUUAUUAAUUUUAAAAUAAAUUGUUAAAAUAUAAAGUCUUUUUUAUUGUUGAGAAGACUUAUAAGUUUGAAAGAUCCUGCUUACACACUUUGGUUAGCACUAUGACAUGUUACUUAUUUAGGGAUAGGCGAGGGCUUCAGUACAUACACUGACUGAUUUAGGGAGAACUCGCAAAAAAAUACAGCAAAUGCUGGAAGCUAGAACAGGAAGUUAUAAAUCAGCAUCUUGAUGGUAAAAUGAAAAUCAACAACUAGUAGCACUUCUUUGAAUUGUCUUUAAAUUAGAGUAAUGUUAAUUUUGAUUGGUAUGGAGAUAGAUGCAUACAAUGGAAAACGAACUGCUGUUAUAUUUUUGGAAGAUGUUAAACAACAAGAUGUAAUUCGAGAUAUUGUUUCUAAAAUUCUUAAAGACGUGUUAUUCGUUCAAGUAAACGAUGCUGUUAAAGCAGGUUGUCUGAGCAGUUAAAGAAACUUAAUCAAAUGAUUCAAAAUUCUCUUCUUUAAGCAGCCGAAGCAACGAUACUCGAAAUGCCUGGAAUGGAUAAUUAACCAA